AUUGAACGCUGGCGGCAGGCCUAACACAUGCAAGUCGAACGGUGACAGGAAACAGCUUGCUGUUUCGCUGACGAGUGGCGGACGGGUGAGUAAUGUCUGGGAAACUGCCUGAUGGAGGGGGAUAACUACUGGAAACGGUAGCUAAUACCGCAUAACGUCGCAAGACCAAAGAGGGGGACCCUCGGGCCUCUUGCCAUCGGAUGUGCCCAGAUGGGAUUAGCUUGUUGGUGGGGUAACGGCUCACCAAGGCGACGAUCCCUAGCUGGUCUGAGAGGAUGACCAGCCACACUGGAACUGAGACACGGUCCAGACUCCUACGGGAGGCAGCAGUGGGGAAUAUUGCACAAUGGGCGCAAGCCUGAUGCAGCCAUGCCGCGUGUAUGAAGAAGGCCUUCGGGUUGUAAAGUACUUUCAGCGGGGAGGAAGGGAGUAAAGUUAAUACCUUUGCUCAUUGACGUUACCCGCAGAAGAAGCACCGGCUAACUCCGUG
rnacentral:rRNA from 1 species